rnacentral:snoRNA from 1 species
GGGGUUUGUAUUUAAGGCAGGCCUAUUCCUCUGGGCCGCUUGUAGUGUCUCAUGCCAGAGCAAACUGUGGUCCUGAACCAUUGCCUGGUCUCUGUGCCUACAGGCUGCUGGCACUGAAGCCAGUUGUACGGUG